rnacentral:rRNA from 1 species
GAUGAACGCUGGCGGCGUGCCUCAAACAUGCAAGUCGAGCGAGGCUAUGAAUUACCGCAAGGUAAGGCAUAGCCUAGCGGCGAACGGGUGAGUAACACGUGGGUAACCUACCUGGAAGACAGGGAUAACGAUUCGAAAGGGUCGCUAAUACCUGAUAAUAUCCAUCUGCCGGAUGGCGGAGGGAAGAAAGGGGAAACCCGCUUUCAGAUGGGCCCGCGUCCCAUCAGCUAGUUGGUAAGGUAAAGGCUUACCAAGGCGACGACGGGUAGCCGGUCUGAGAGGAUGUACGGCCACACUGGGACUGAGAUACGGCCCAGACUCCUACGGGAGGCAGCAGUUGGGAAUCUUAGGCAAUGGACGAAAGUCUGACCUAGCGACGCCGCGUGAGGGAAGAAGGCCUUCGGGUUGUAAACCUCUGUCAUGGGGAAGGAAGGAAGUGACGGUACCCGAACGAGGAAGCCCCUGCUAACUACGUG